UGCUUAACACAUGCAAGUCGAACGCGAAAGGGACUUCGGUCCUGAGUAAAGUGGCGCACGGGUGAGUAACGCGUAGAUAACCUGUCUUCAUGUCUGGAAUAAUACGCCGAAAGGGGUACUAAUACCGGAUAUUCUUUGCUUUUCAUAAGUUAUGCAAGCAAAGGUGGCCUCUGCAUAUGCUACUGCAUGAAGAGGGGUCUGCGUACCAUUAGCUAGUAGGUGGGGCAAUGGCCUACCUAGGCGACGAUGGUUAGCGGGUCUGAGAGGAUGAUCCGCCACACUGGCACUGGAACACGGGCCAGACUCCUACGGGAGGCAGCAGUGAGGAAUAUUGCGCAAUGGGGGAAACCCUGACGCAGCGACGCCGCGUGAGUGAAGGAAGGCCUUCGGGUCGUAAAGCUCUGUCAAGAGGAAAGAAGUGUACAAUGGCUAAUACCUGUUGUAUUUGACGGUACCUCUAAAGGAAGCACCGGCUAACUCCGUGCCAGCAGCCGC
rnacentral:rRNA from 1 species